rnacentral:misc_RNA from 1 species
UGGUUCUGGCAUCGAUGAAGAACGCAACGAAAUGCGAUAAGUAGUGUGAAUUGCAGAAUUCAGUGAAUCAUCGAAUCUUUGAACGCACAUUGCGCCCCUUGGUAUUCCGUGGGGCAUGCCUGUUCGAGCGUCAUUUGUACCCUCAAGCUCUGCUUGGUGUUGGGUGUUUGUCUCGCCUUGCGCGUAGACUCGCCUUAAAACAAUUGGCAGCCGGCGUAUUGAUUUCGGAGCGCAGUACAUCUCGCGCUUUGCACUCAUAACGACGACGUCCAGAAGUACUUUUUACACUCUUGACCUCGGAUCAGGUAGGGAUACCCGCUGA